UACAGGGGGUGCAAACGUUGCUCGGAAUUAUUGGGCGUAAAGAGCUCGUAGGCGGUUCGUCGCGUCGGCUGUGAAAACCCGGAGCUCAACUCCGGGCCUGCAGUCGAUACGGGCGGACUUGAGUGUUGCAGGGGAGACUGGAAUUCCUGGUGUAGCGGUGAAAUGCGCAGAUAUCAGGAGGAACACCGGUGGCGAAGGCGGGUCUCUGGGCCGAUACUGACGCUGAGGAGCGAAAGCGUGGGGAGCGAACAGG
rnacentral:rRNA from 1 species